GAAGCUUUUACGGCGGCUUGAAAAAUGGGAUCAUCAGGCAGAACAUGUGUUCUUGCAUUGUCCUGUUGUAUCCAUAUGGUUCCCACGUCUCCAUCGUCGGGCCAUACUUCAACAAUUGCUGGAAUUACCUUCUCACAGAGAUUCCAGGAAGCAUAAAUUCUAGCUCAAGCAAAUAAAUGUGGUGCAAGCAUUCUAUGCUUUGAAGCUAAAUAAUUGUGUUAACAUGCAAGUAUCUUUGUGCAAGCAUCCGAUGACCAGAGUCAUUACAACCAUAAAUUUUCUGUUAACAUGAAGGUACACUGGAUCUUUGUGAAAUGUCUGUUUUAAUUGCUUGUCGGGACAUGAUUAUGAUUUCAUACUUUUGCUAUGCUUUAUGGGAUGAUUAAGUGUUAACUCCACACUCUACAUUCUUAUUAUGUUAUGCAUGUGUCACUUUAAAGUUCCAUAAGAAACAUUUUAGAAUCACAAAUAUGUCUGAACUACUCCACCGAUAUAUUUGGCAGGCAGGAAUACAAAACUACAGGGUCUGGCUGCUGCUAUUCUACAAGCCAUCAUGCAAUAUCCAGAGGUUCCCUUCCUUCCAUCUCGAGCCUCAAUUGCAAAUUCCACCGAUUUUCUCUUGACCCAGUUUCUCCCCUAAUUUAAUUUGUAGAUUCAAGCGGCAGUUUACGCUCUUCGGAAUACUAGGGGCCUGCCAUGGCCCAAGGACAAGGAGAAUGAAAAGAAGCCUCAGGAGAAGAAGAAGCCCGAGGAGGAGAAGAAGACUGAUAAAGAUCUCCUUGACUGGCUUCAGGCCAUGUUUGGAUUUCAGAAUGAUAAUGUAUCCAACCAAAGGGAACAUCUCAUAUUGUUACUAGCAAACGUACACAUAAGGCAGAUACCCAAGCCUGAACAACAGUCUAAG